rnacentral:misc_RNA from 1 species
CCGAGUUUACAACUCCCAAACCCCAGUGUGAACGCUACCGAAACCGUUGCCUCGGCGGGGGAGCCGCGUCCCCCAGGGCGCUCCCCGCCGGAGGAAACCCCCCAAACCCUCUCUCUCGCGCGAGUCCCGCAGCGGACGAGCGCACCACGUCUCUCUGAGCAAAACCUUCGGGCGCCCCCCCAGCGGGGCCGCCUCGAAAAUGAAUCA